rnacentral:rRNA from 1 species
CCUACGGGAUGCAGCAGUGGGGAAUAUUGCACAAUGGGGGAAACCCUGAUGCAGCGACGCCGCGUGAGUGAAGAAGUAUUUCGGUACGUAAAGCUCUAUCAGCAUGGAAGAAAAUGACGGUACCUGACUAAGAAGCCCCGGCUAACUACGUGCCAGCAGCCGCGGUAAUACGUAGGGGGCAAGCGUUAUCCGGAUUUACUGGGUGUAAAGGGAGCGUAGACGGCAGCGCAAGUCUGGAGUGAAAUCCCAUGGCUUAACCAUGGAACUGCUUUGGAAACUGUGCAGCUAGAGUGCAGGAGAGGUAAGCGGAAUUCCUAGUGUAGCGGUGAAAUGCGUAGAUAUUAGGAGGAACACCAGUGGCGAAGGCGGCUUACUGGACUGUAACUGACGUUGAGGCUCGAAAGCGUGGGGAGCAAACAGGAUUAGAUACCCGGGUAGUC